GGACCCUGCAUGCAUGAGAUCGCCGGUUAAUGUUGUAGGGGUAAGUUGUUUGAAUUCGAUGAUUUCUCUUCUGAAGGAAACUUUGCAGUGACAUCUUCAUCGAUAAACCAUUAUUAUUGGGGCUAUAAACCGGCAGAGGAGAUGCCAAUGUUGGCGAUACAAGUUGUCCCGACGACGACGAGGAAGACGAAGAUCCACUUGAGUUUAUUCUCAUAUUAUCCUCCAUUGUUCUGCUUGCCAACAUCAGAAUAGCUCUCGCCUGCAGCUCUGUAACAUCGGCAACGCAAACGCUUCCAUUGUAGAACAUCGUUAUCUGCUGCUCUUGUCGUUGUUCUUCAUUUGACGCCUCCGUUUGGCGGUGGUGGUCUUGAUCGGAGGUGGGAAAUAGGCGGAGUUCAAGAUUGCAGUUCCUCCUCAUCUUUAGUUGAUCUGAGAAAUUGAAAUUUAAAAGGAGAAGUAAAAAUAUAUCGAAGCUUGGAUUUAAGAAGAAU
rnacentral:misc_RNA from 1 species